rnacentral:misc_RNA from 1 species
GCAACAUCAUCAGAGAAAGAUGGCGAGUCGCUGUACAAGAGGGUGAAAAUCAAUAGGCUAAUUAAUAUUUUUAAGAAUGAUCCAAUAAUUCCUGCAUUCCCAGAUCUUCAUCUUUCUCCUGCUGCAAUUUUGAAAGAAUUGGCAAUGUACUUUCAGAAGUUUUCUUCACAGACUCGUCUUCUCACCCUUCCAGCACCUCAUGAAUUUCCACCCCGAGAGGCACAAGACUAUCAGAGACAGUAUCUGAUUGUCAAUCACAUAGGAGCUAUUCGUGCAGAGCAUGAUGAUUUUGCAAUUCGUUUUGCUUCAUCGUUGAAUCAGCUGUUGUUGUUGAAAUCAACAGAUGGUGCAGAUAUUGAGUGGUGCAAAGAAGUCAAGGGAAACAUGUAUGAUAUGGUUGUUGAAGGUUUCCAGCUCUUAAGCAGAUGGACAGGG